UGCUUGGGAAACUGCCCAGUCGUGGGGGACAACCAUUGGAAACGAUGGCUAAUACCGCAUACGCCUACGGGGAAAGAAGGGACCGUUCGGCCGUUCGGCGAUUGGAUGUGCCCAACGUGGGGAGUUAGCUAGUUGGUUGAGGUAAGAGCUCACCAAGGCGACGAUCCCUAGCUGGUUUGAGAGGAUGAUCAGCCACACUGGAACUGAGACACGGUCCAGACUCCUACGGGAGGCAGCAGUGGGGAAUAUUGCACAAUGGAGGAAAACUCUGAUGCAGCCAUGCCGCGUGUAUGAAGAAGG
rnacentral:rRNA from 1 species